rnacentral:rRNA from 1 species
UACGUAGGGUGCAAGCGUUGUCCGGAAUUAUUGGGCGUAAAGAGCUCGUAGGCGGUUUGUCGCGUCUGCUGUGAAAACCCGAGGCUCAACCUCGGGCCUGCAGUGGGUACGGGCAGACUAGAGUGCGGUAGGGGAGAUUGGAAUUCCUGGUGUAGCGGUGGAAUGCGCAGAUAUCAGGAGGAACACCUAUUGCGAAGGCGGCUCGCUGGGACGUUACUGACGCUGAGACGCGAAAGCGUGGGGAGCAAACAGG